rnacentral:rRNA from 1 species
ACUCAAAUGAAUUGACGGGGACCCGCACAAGCGGAGGAUGAUGUGGUUUAAUAUGACGCUACGCGUAGAACCUUACCGAGGCUUGACAUCCUUGGAAUCCACUGGAAACAGAGGAGUGCCGCAAGGAGCCAAGUGACAGGUGCUGCAUGGCCGUCGUCAGCUCGUGUUGUGAAAUGUUGGGUUAAGUCCCGCAACGAGCGCAACCCUUAUCGUAUGUUGUAUUUUUCAUGCGAGACUGCCCGGGCCAACCGGGAGGAAGGUGGGGAUGAAGUCAGGUCGGCAUGGCCCUUACGCCUCGGGCCACACACGUCAUACAAUGGCCGGUACAACGCGCCGCUAAGCCGCGAGGCGGAGCUAAUCGCAUCAAAACCGGUCUCAGUUCGGAUUGGAGGCUGCAACUCGCCUCCAUGAAGUCGGAUUCGCUAGUAAACGCAGGUCAGCAUACUGCGUUGAAUACGUUCCCGGGUCUUGUACACACCGCCCGU